rnacentral:rRNA from 1 species
GUUCCAGACUCCUACGGGAGGCAGCAGUGGGGAAUAUUGCACAAUGGGGGAAACCCUGAUGCAGCGACGCCGCGUGAGUGAAGAAGUAUUUCGGUAUGUAAAGCUCUAUCAGCAGGGAAGAAAUAGCGACCUUUGGGUCGCCAGACGGUACCUGACUAAGAAGCCCCGGCUAACUACGUGCCAGCAGCCGCGGUAAUACGUAGGGGGCAAGCGUUAUCCGGAUUUACUGGGUGUAAAGGGAGCGUAGACGGUGAGACAAGUCUGAAGUGAAAGCCCGGGGCUCAACCCCGGGACUGCUUUGGAAACUGCCUGACUGGAGUGCUGGAGAGGCAAGCGGAAUUCCUAGUGUAGCGGUGAAAUGCGUAGAUAUUAGGAAGAACACCAGUGGCGAAGGCGGCUUACUGGACAGUAACUGACGUUGAGGCCCGAAAGCGUGGGGAGCAAACAGGAUUAGAUACCCGCGUACA